UACAGAGGGGGCAAGCGUUAUUCGGAAUUAUUGGGCGUAAAGGGCGCGUAGGCGGCCUGGCAAGUGGAAGGUGAAAUCCCUCGGCUUAACCGAGGAACUGCCCUCCAAACUGCUUGGCUUGAGUCCGGGAGAGGUGAGUGGGAAUUCCGAGUGUAGAGGUGAAAUUCGUAGAUAUUCGGAAGGAACACCGGUGGCGAAGGCGGCUCACUGGCCCGUAACUGACGCUCAUGCA
rnacentral:rRNA from 1 species